GCCCUGGUGGCAUAGUGGUUGAAUGCCUGUACUGCAGUCACUCACAAACCACAAGGUUGUGAGUUCAAUACUAGCCAGGGGCU
rnacentral:tRNA from 1 species